rnacentral:SRP_RNA from 1 species
CCGUGCUAGGCGGGGAAUUAGCGGUGCCCUGUACUUGCAAUCCGCUCUAGCAAGGCCGAAUUCCCGACCGAGGGGUCUGGGGCUUCGGGGCCAGUACGCCGGCGUCCGGUGUCGAUGGUCAGGUCCCGCGCGGUGGACGCUCGUGAACCAGGUCAGAUCCGGGAGGAAGCAGCCUUAAGCGAAGCCGUCCAUGCGCCGUGGGGAAGCCUGGCCGGAGCCGGACGGCGGCGGGAACGCCCGAUACCCACCUCGACGCCGGGUGCACGG